CGUCACAGUACCCAUUAUUGCCGAAAAAUACCACAUUUUUCUUUGUCAUGUCCAAAAUAUAAGUUUAUUUAAAAUAAUUUCUAUAUGUAUCUCUGCAAUGUUCAUUCAAUUAACAUGAGAUAUAUUUUUCAUUUGAAACAAGUCCAUCUCCACUUACUUUCGGGCUAAAAAUAAACCCCGUCCAUGACCUUGGAGAAACAGGAAGUAGAGUACCCAUUAUUGCCGCUUAUAUCUUUUCCUCAUUAUUCACCAACUAAUCGCUAAAUAACCCAACUAUUUUUAAACUCAUGACAUAAAAAGACAGAAAAAUGUCUCCAAUGUAAAAUUAUUUAAUUAAAAACGCAAUUUUAAUGUUUUAUUUUAAUUUUUAGUGACCUAUUUUUUUCGAUGUUGCUACGACCUCGUGCGCAAAAAUAAACAUGGAGAAACAUGUGCUUUGCAGCUUUAUCGGAACUGACAAUGUCCGCAGCGCUAUUUUUCCAAGUGAACGCAGUAUUAUGAAAGAUAAUAGAGAGAGAAGUAUAUGCCUCAUCGGCUGCAGAGCUUUUGCAAACACUUUUUAACCAGUUUUUGCGUAUAUUUUGCUUGUGAACCAGCCUUCAAAUAUUCCUUUCAACAUAGUACGGGGCUCCGUGGUUAAGCCGAGAGGCUUGAGCCCCAUGGCGUACUUCCACAUCGAUGGCAGUAAACGGAUGUCAUUGGUCCUUUUCAUGUGAAUUCAGAAGUUUUCGGAAUAAGACCAGUGUCAUAAGACUAGUUAGUGCUUUCCAGAAUAUAUGCACAUGCUGGCAGAGUAUGUUAUGACUGUCAAGAGGAGCUUCGUUGAGGAGGAUGAGAGAUGUGCAAAGGCACAUAUCAAGCAGUUGUCCUCACUUUGCCUUGCCAGUGACCAAAUGAAUGGUUGACUACAGUAUCUGAAGAAUUUUUAAGGAGUUGAAUAUCAUACAGACCUCUGUCUAUGGCUGCUAAACUAAAGCUUGACAGUUUUAUGUGAAGAAUUAAAAAAUAUAUAUAGGAGUAUGUAAAGAAAUGUUGUAACUGUAAAUAGAAGUAACUUUUCAUUAUUUUCAUUUAGAUUAAACAUAUAUAAAUAUACAUUGAAUAGUCAAAAAGUUGCAAAUGUAAACUGUACAUCUAAAAGUUUUAGGCUAUAUGAUUGAAAUCAUUUUGAUUAUAAAAUUGUGAAA